rnacentral:lncRNA from 1 species
CCCUCAAAUUCGGAGGUGCGGCAACGAAGGGGCAAGGCUGGGCGCAGGCCGGGUGUCCGGGCCCAGGGCCCUGGUGGGGACGUUGAGAAUUGCCCUGUCGAGCAUGUUUGGGAUUCAAGAAUGAAUUGGAAGCAAACGGAAGAGCUGACAUCCCCGCGCCCUUUCAAGUACCGGGGUUCCGCCAGUCUCUGGGACUUGGAGCUGCCCGCAGAGUCAGCCUGAGCCGGAGAGGGGUCCUGGGCAGCGGUGCGGGGUCUCUGUUUCUCCGAGGGGGUCCGGGCGCGCCCCUCCCCUUUGUUGUGCAGUGAGACCAGUGGGGCCUCCUCUGGGAUCUACAUUCGGAGCCCCAUGCCCUUGCCAUAACGAACGUGAACUGGCAGUGUCCAAGGAGCUAACCCGAGACCCCAGAGUCCUAGCAGAGGCACCCUGAUGGCGCAGGGUGCAUGGCCCACGCUACCCCAGAGGAGAAGCCCGAAGAAGCCCCGCUUGUCAAAAGCCAGCGGCAGUGUGCUGGGCCUUCCGCCCUGGCCUCUCUGUAGUCCGAAUUGCUUCCCUGCCAGGAUCCCAACCUCGACAGAGCCCCUACUGCUGGAGGGUGUCCAGUCUGGAGCCCCUCACCGCCCUGGAUGGAGAAGGCACUGUCCCCGGCUCUGGUGCCCACCGACUGCCACCUCCACUGUUUCCAGCCCUCGGCACGGCAGGACCUGAGGUCAGGAAGGCCCAGCUUCCUUCUGGGGGUGCUCCAGCUCACUCAGGACCUCUCCAUGCUCCCUCCCUCAGCUCAGGAGGUGAUUAAAAUUGUGGAGCACCCUUCAGACUCUGGGAUCACACCCUCGCCAGCCAGCCUGCCAGCCCAGGGAAGGAGGAGAUUGAGGCUGUGGGCUUGACCUCCCUCCUUUGAGCCAUGUGGGAGAUGGCUCCGGAAUGCCGGCCCAAACUGGCGGCCCAGGAAGCGCAGGAGGCGCCCGGCGACUCCUUCCCCGCGGCGCGCCAAGCGGGCCGAACUCCGCGGCUGAGUCGCGCGGCUCCACUCACCGCGCGCGGGCUCGGGCUCCGGCCUCGGAGAGCGGUAAACGGAAUCGGUUUCCCACGGUCUCCCCCUUCAUCCCGGGGCCUUUCAAAAGCCGCUCACGAAUUCCGUCGUCCAGUUUACGCGGAUUCUGAGCCUCGCGUUCACCCCGCGCCACCUGGAAAGGGGACCCUCGCACGGUCCGCAUCCCCGGGCCGCCCGCCCGUGCACACGGGGAGCAACUUCGUUCCCCUGAGAGCCCUGGCCCCGCGGCGCGGGCAGAGCUCCGCCCGGCAAAGGUGGCACUGUGGUCGCUCCGGAACGCUACCCGCGUGGACGCGGCCGCCACCUUCUGCUCUCGCUUCUGGCUGCGCGCGGGCAGAGCCCUGGAAACAACGAAAACGGCGAGCAGAGUUGCUUUCCGGAUGUCGGAGUCCCGGAAGCCUCUGGGUGCCAGCCAGUCCUCCGCGUCCCCAGACGCCCCAGAGCCGAGCUCACCGCCUGGCCGCCGGUACCGGAACAGACUCCCCCAGUCGGCUUGCCGGCAAUCCACGCCUCGACGUGACCCCGAAGGAGCAGCUGCGGGGAGAUGCUUCUUCGAGCCUCAGUUUCCCCACCUGUGCAACGGGGCCAUAUGUUCCUGCGCCCUUCCCGGGGUUGAUGUGGGAUUGGCGGGGAGAGAGGACCUGGAAAACGCCCGACGGGGCUCAGUUCUGCCCACCUUUUGGGGCCAGGUUUGCGCCGGUGGGGUUCAGCUGUCGUGCACAGACUAGAAGGGGCCCAGGUUGCUCCUAGCGAUCGCCGCCCUCGCCCAUCUCCUCCAUCUCCCCCCGCCGCCCUCACCCCGGAACUCCCCUCUCCGCGGGCGCAAUGGUGGAGGUGUGAGGGUCCCGCUUGGCGCCUAGGCGUCUCCGCUCAGCCUCUGUCCGGGUUGUUGCUCGCCCUGGGCGGUUCUCUCAGGUUCCUUUGAGGCCCCGGGUGCAUAAAGAUUUUAAGGCAACAGGCUUCUACUCUCGGGGUGGUACCACUGGCCACCCCAGACCUCGCAAAGGGUGGGUAAUGGGACUGCCCCGGGAGGGGACAGGAUUCCAGCUGAGCUCCUAGAAAGGAAUUUACCGCACCCCCCCCCCCCGGGCCCCAUAUGCCGCGGUGGGGGGGGGGCGGGUGGCGAGCGUGUCUGGGAGGGGCACUGGGGCGUGACCUUGGGUUUAAAGAUCAGCCUGGGGACUUCCUUGGUGGUCCAGAAGCUAAGAGUCUGCCUAGCAAAGCAGGGGCGCAGAGCCGAUCCCUGGUCAGUGAGCUAAGAUCCCGCAUGCCAAGAUGCAGGGCCAAAAGAUUAAAAUUAAAGAAAAAAAUAUCAGCCUUAAACUAUGAAGCUGAGCCCUAAGGGAGAGAAUUAAAGGACUAAAUGCCUUCAUUCAGGGGAGGGGCAUGGCCUGCUCAAAAUGUCCUGGCUGCUCACUGCUUCUGGACAAGACCAUUGGAGGGUAAGCAGUGGGUAAUCGGGUGGCCAGGGGGGACCAAAUGGACACACUCUCCCCAGGUCCCUUUUACCUGCUACUAAACCAGUCAUUGCAGGAAGCUCUCUUGAACAAGCAAGAAAACAGAAGAGUCCAGGACCGCCCCAGGCAGGCGAAAAAAUUACCCCUCGUGCUGCCUGACCCGAAGCUGAUGGAAUCGGUCGAGGAUUCCUGUCCCCUGGGGCAGAGCCGCCUGCUUCUGCCUCAGGCACCAAGAGCCCACAACCCUGGGGCUGCAGGGAGGGAGCAGGCACUCGCAGCUCUUGGCUCCGCUGCCCCUGCCAGGACUUCUCCACCUCCCAGGCAGUGGGGCUCCCUCCCCCUCUGCCCUCGAACAUCUGCAGGAGGUUCCCUGGUGAAGGAAGGACCAGUGGUGGCCAGAAUGGCAGGUCAGGGGACCUCACUGAGGACUGAGGGACUAGGGUAGCAGCCCCUCACUCACGGGAGUCCCCAACCCCCACCAUGGUAUCAGUGAAGUUAUUAUGAAUGUCCUGCCGGGUAGGGGGCAGCAGAGGGACUGCCUGAGCACUGCCCCUGCCACUCACACAUGACGCCCCCUGCUUCCCUUCCAGGACAAGCAGGCAGCUGUCGGGGAGGGGGGGGGGAGUAGGGGGGAGGUGUGGGGGGGGAGGGGAGCAGAUCAGAGGAGCUUAGCUUAGAGCCAGAGGCUUCCCCAUUCUACCUGGGGCUCUGGGGCAGCCCCCCGCCAGCUUCCUGGACAUCCCAGUUUCCCACAGUAUAAUAUGGAGGCGAAAAAAUGGGUGUUGGGCAUAGCUGCAGGCAAGUGUGCUGCCUGGCGCCUCCUGGGAGCUCAGGUGUUUUGGAGCUGGGACGGCUAGCAGCAGGGUUCCCUGCACCCUCUGACCCCUCCUCUCCCAGAACCAAAGCCUGUCCCUCGGGCUCUGACCUGGAUUCAUGGAGGGCUGUUCCUUGCUCCCUUGCGGGACACAGAGGGCCAGUUGGACCAGGAUGAAGGACAGGGCUCCUGGGAGCUGUGGGUUCCCUUCCCCCUGCAGCUCUUCAUGGGUUCCCAGAGUCAGGCCCACCCUGCCUUCAGCGCCUCUCACAGGCACCUUGUGCCUGCUGAGAGGCCAAGGCUCUCAGACCAUGUGCAGACUUUUUAUUUAUUCAUUCAAUCAGAAGCCGUGGUAAUGCUGGGGCUCCUGAACUUACAGUCACACGGUGAGAGCUGAAGUGAAGGCUGUUUGUUCCCGCACACUUGCAGCUUCCAGAGCAUCUUACUUUGCCCUCCCCCUGCUCCCCCAGAGUCCCAGUGCCUGGGACUGUGCUUGGAGCUCAGUGAACGAAAGAAUGAAUGAAUGAAGAGGUCUGAAUGAGUUGAAAGUGACCCUGGGAUCCCCGAAGCUGAUCUCAGCCCUAGAAAUGGGGGAGGGGAGGUCCAGGUGACCUUCCUGGCUGUGGCCCCGUGGCCACAGCCCUGUCCUGAGCGUCCUGUCCUCUGCCUUUCCCCACCCUGCAUCCAGCAGCCUGUGCCAAGUGACAGGGGUGCAGCAAUGAGCAAACCACCCAGAUGCCCUGAUGUGCAAUGCACGAUUUGAAAAAGGGAAGACCACCUGCUCAGGGGUGAGUGAGUGGGUGGGGUCAGCCUUGUGCUGGGGACAGUGGACACUGGCAGAAAGAGCAUCCUCAGGACACAUGUGGUCUGUCCCUCAGUUCCCUGGCCUGGAGUAUGGAGCCCCGGGGGUACUGGGGCUCCAGAGCCAGGCAGGGUGCUGGCUGCUGCCCCAGUCACUCCCACCCUUGGGCUCCACCCCAGUGCAUAUGGCCCUAAUCUCACACCGUGGGACCACAGUAAGGAGACACUGGUGCUCAGAGGAGCGAGAACUUUCCUGGGAGGCACAGUGGGAGUCACCUGGCUGACACAGAGCCCUGCUCCGGGCGACCCUCAAAGGAUGUCUGCAGUGGGGGGGUCUCCAUCUGGGACCUUUCCUGGUUUCAUGCCCUGCCAGAAUUGUGAGCUCCAAAGGGGGAUCCUGAUGAUGACUGAGAUGUUUAUUUGCCUGUGUCCAGAAAGACUUGGCCACCAGGCUUUGUAUUUCCUCAGAGUCUAGCUGUUGCUGGAGAGUCAGGACCCCUCUCAGUGUGGGCAUCCCAGGGCCAUUCUAGGGCACAGACCAGUGGCUUUGGGGGCCUGGUUUGGAGCCAACAUUUCAAGUAAGUCAGGCUUAGAAUCUGGGCUUCUGGGAAGAAAUUCCCAAUCAUGAAAUGUGUCAUUUGAAAAAAUAUAUGUGUCAGUUAAGUGUGCACUGAGCCUGGACCACAUGGGAUAGGGUUGUUCUAAUAAACACGAAUAAGCCAGUUUUCACAUUAGAGAAAUAACAGUUUCAAGUAGAAAUGUGGUGCUUUUAAAAGAGGUUAAUUAAUAAACAGCAGGUAAUUGUUCAUGGCACAUGGUGGCAGAGGGUAAUUUUCAUUUUAGAGGAGAGAAGGCCCAAAUGCCCCCCCAACUCAGAUUUUUUUGUGUAAUAAUCACCUUGGCUUCACCUCCGCCUUUAAUUUUUACAGCUGGAGCUGUUUAUCAUCGCUCCAACUUUCACUAAAAAGGAAAAACUAUCACUUAAACAAAGCCAUUGAAAACUCAGCAUCAUAUGUGGAUUUCUUAACAUAAAUAAAUCAUACAAACCAAGAUUUAUGUUCUCCCAAUGAUGUCAUUCGCUGAAGGCUGCCUUCCCAAUCAAAUCAGCGGUUAGUGACUCUCCUUUUGUGUGUGUGUGCUUUUUGCAAAAUAAGAAAAGCAGCGCUGGCAUCCUGGCUGCUCUCUUUCUCUGCUCCGCCCAGGACAUCAGAAAGGUCUCUCCCUGCAUCAGCACAACUGGUUCUAAACGGUGAGCACGGAUUCAAUGCCACAGAUGGCAUUUCAAGCCUUUGUUUUUGAAAUGCAGGUUCUAAGUUGAAAGACUGUUAAGGCUUCCUGAAGGAUUUGCUCAGACUCCAGCAGAAGCUGGGGGCUCUGGGGGUCUCUCAGAGCCUAGGAUGAGUUUCGCUGCAGGGUCAUCACGUUGAAAUGAGCGAGGACCGCGACAGGCACCCAUGAUGGGGAGAUGAGAUGUGGUCGCUCCGUACAGUGGAGAAGUGUCAGUCACAGCAAGGAACGAAGCCCUGAUAAUGGACCACAGUGUGCACGAAGUUGGUGAAUGAAGUCAGUCAGAGCAGGUCACGUACCAUUCCAUUCUACCUAUGUAGAAUGCCCCUACCAGGAUGGGCAAAUCCACAGAGACAGAAAAGAAACAAGUGGUUGCCAGGGUAGGGGAGAGGACGUGGCAGGUGACUGCUUCCUUGGCACAGGGUUUCCUCCUGGGAAGAUGAAAAUGUUCUGGAAACAGACGCCCACUUUGUUUAUUUACUAAAGUCUUCCUUGUCUUUUUGAUUUUAUUGGCUGCACCAGGUCUUAGCUGCAGCACAUAGGAUCUUCAUUGCAGUGUGCAGGAUAUUUACUUGCAGCAUGCAAAGUCUUCGUUGCAGCAUGCAGGAUCUAGGGGUCAAAUCCGGGUCCUCUGUGUUGGGAGAGCAGAGUCUUAGCUACUGGACCGCCAGGGAUAUCCCAGACAGCCCACUUAAAAAUGGAGACUGUUGUGCUUUGUUAAUUGUAUCUCAAUAAAUCUGUUAUUUAAAAAUCACUACUGAGAACAUAUGUUUAAAAAGCUUUAUGUUCAUUUUAAAGUUUUUUCCGUUUUGAAAUGAUCACACAGAUGGGUGAGUGUGUAAGACUGCAUGUGCACGCCUGGAGUAUAUGACAUGAGCACCGGCCCCAGCUCCUGGGUGAAGCAUGAGCUUGUGAUAAUUUUUCUUCAAAGUUCUCUGUAUAGCCCCUUCCCCUAACUGCAUCCCCUUCAACCAGACCAGAGGUACCCACCCCACAGGUAUUUGUGUUAACCACCUCCUUGACUUGUUU